GUAUGCGUACGUAUAUACAUAUAUGUGUGUAUGCGUACGUAUAUACAUAUAUGUGUGUAUGCGUACGUAUAUACAUAUAUGUGUGUAUGCGUACGUAUAUAAAUAUAUGUGUGUAUGCGUACGUAUAUACAUACAUACAUGCAUGUACAUAUAUACGUAUAUAUGUAUGUACAUAAUGUGUAUAUAUGUACGUACAUACAUAUAUGUGUAUAUAUGUACGUGCAUACAUAUAUGUGUAUAUAUGUACGUACAUAUAUACGGGUAUAUAUGUACGUACAUACAUAUAUAUGGGUAUACAUGCAUGUAUAUACAUAUAUAUGGGUAUACAUACAUGUAUAUGUAUGUAUGUAUUUUUUUUUCCCAAUGCUGUGAAUUGCUUUGCCUGCUAUGAAGGACCAAAUGCUAUUUUUUCCAGGCACAACUUAAUAUUUUAUUAACUAAAUUAUACUAAAUGUUACCAGUUGCCUAGGGUAAUGUCAUAGUAAGUACUCUGAGAUAAAUUCUUGUCUGCUGUAGGAUUCCUUAAGCUGAAGUCUAUGUUAACUCAGCCAGCACUCCAGCGAUCAGGGUGAUUUUGCUGUGCCACAAAUAUGCCCAGUUUACUGCAUUCUUCUUCAAGGCACUUACCCUCUCUUUAAAGCCUUGAUAACAUUUCCCCUUCUUCCUUUAUGAGCACUUUCAAAGUCUUAAACAUUUUCACCUGAUGACUUCAACAGGUGCAUGUUGGGGACUUGGCAGCUGUGGUUUUCGUCACACACACAGCCGACAUCUGAACAAAGGCACAGACAUUCCUAACCACAAUCCACACAUUGCUUACCUAUUUCCAUCCUCAAAAACUUAAAUUAAUGGAUUUUAAAUUUCUUAAUAUUCCUAGAGAGAGAAAAAGGGCAGGCCCAGGAAUUUAGAUACAAGCCUACAUUCAAAUAACACAUUUCAAUUAGGAGAAUGUAAAAUAUAAACUCUCCUACUAUAUAUAUACUUGAACACUAGAGGGAAAAUCACCCAACAUGUUAAAUAAAAAUUCCACAAGGUAGAUAUUGUAUAGUGUAUCUUUAACUGAAAACACUUCAUGCAACUUUUAUAGUUUCCACGUGCAGCCUAAGCCCUAAUCUGUUUCAAUAAAAUAAAUGUAUGUUGGCUGGGUAUGGUGGCUCACACCUAUAAUCCCAGCAUUUUGGGAGGCCGAGGCAGGCAGAUCACUUGAGGUCAGGAGUUCAAGACCAGCCUGGCCUACAUGGCGAAAACCCUUCUCUACUAAAAAUACAAAAAAAAAAAAAAAAAAAAAAAAUUAGCCAGGUGUGGUGGCAGGUGCCUGUAAUCCCAGCUACUCGGGAGGCUGAGGGAGGAUAAUUGCUUAAACCCAGGAGGCAGAGGUUGCAGUCAGCUGAGAUUGUGCCACUGCACUCCAGCCUGACAGAGGGCGACUGCAUUUCAAAACAAUAAAAAAUAAAAUAAAUAGAGUAAGUGUAUGUAUAGAUUAAAAGUCACCUCUAAUGAAUUAAAGGACACCCAUAAUUAUAACAUGCAAGGGAAAAUAUUAAUAUUUCAGAUGUAUAUACCAAUGAAAACUGGAAAUAAGAACUUGAUUUUAAAAGGUAGCAGUAUCUGAAUUGAAAUAACUAAUUUAACUCUAUGAUG
rnacentral:lncRNA from 1 species